CAUCUCAUCCACACACCGAACAGACCCCGUCGAUGGCGCUCUAGACUCGCCCGCCGCCACCCCGUCGCCGGCCCUCCCCCGCCACCCUGUCGCCGGCCCCGUCGCUCCCCCGCCCUGUCGCCGGCCGCGUCGCUCCCCCGCCCCGUCGCUGACCCUCCCCCUCCCCGUCGCCGGCCCUUGCCCUCGUCCACGGCCCGCCCCGUCGAGGUCCAGGUCCGCGACGGAUCCGCCUACGCUGGCGUCUUCCACACCGCCUCCCUCAACGCCGGAUAUGUGUUGGACAUGCAUAUAAGAAGAGGAUGAAGUCAAUAAUUAUGAGCUGAAGUUCAGAUAUAUUUGACCUGUCAAGAUGUGGAAAGUAUAGCCACAUGGGCCAUCUUUCUUAUAGACCGACCAGUUGCGCCUCCCUGCCGGUCGCCGCUCGCCACCCCAAGGAUUAAGGUCGGCCGCGCAGGUCCCCGUCGGUCACUGCUCCGGAUCCAGGCCGCCCACCGCCCCGCCCCCAUCAGCCCGGUCUAUUUCCCACCGUAUCCCAUCUUUGCCGCCAUCCGACGCACCUUCUUCAAGGAGCUGCGACCCCAUGUCUCAGAGGAGCUAGCCCCGACGCCAUUGAUGCCCGAGCGACGCUCCCAAGCUAGGAGCGGCACUAGGACGACCACGCCCCCGAAGCCUAAACUGCAAGAUCCACCCACGCCCUCUCCAUUGCCACUCCACCGGUCGCGUAGAGAAGAUCGAGAAAUGCAGCCUAACACCGGUGUCGAGCUGAUUCAGGGGAUGAUUCCACUCAAACGUAAUGAGCAUAUAUGAACAGGUUUUCAGUACGUCCAUGCCUUUGGGGCAUCUGGAGCUUCACAUAAUUGCUAAUUAGUGGCUGGGAUUUUGACGUCGCCUCUUAUACAUAUAUAGAGUUGCACUGUGAUUAAAUUUAUAUUGCUUUAAUAAUGUUCAAGCUUGGAAAAUGAUGCUUAGUUCUAGACAAUGGAAAUAAGUUGUCAUUAUUUCGGAACUUAUCCGUGCACUAAGACUUGCUACUUUGAUUCUGUUGUUUGCUAGAGAAAAUAGCUAUGUAACCUGGACGACCACUCUAACCUCAUUUCUGAAUUUGGUUUCUUAGAGUUCAACCAUGUCUUUCAAAAAUCAAACUAAAACAUAUUCCAUUUAUUUAUCCCACUGUUUAUAGG